GACGAACGCUGGCGGCGUGCUUAACACAUGCAAGUCGAACGGAAAGGCCCUUCGGGGUUCUCGAGUGGCGAACGGGUGCGUAACAGGUGGGUGAUCUGCCCUGCACCUUGGGAUAAGCCUGGGAUACUGGGACUAAUGCCGAAUAUGAUCAUCAGCUUCUUGGUCGGUGGUGGGAAGGUUCUGCGGUGUGGGAUGGGCCCGCGGCCGAUCAGCUUGUUGGUGGGGUAGUGGCCUACCAAGGCGACGACGGGUAGCCGGCCUGAGAGGGUGACCGGCCACACUGGGACUGAGAUACGGCCCAGACUCCUACGGGAGGCAGCAGUGGGGAAUAUUGCACAAUGGGCGCAAGCCUGAUGCAGCGACGCCGCGUGCGGGAUGACGGCCUUCGGGUUGUAAACCUCUUUCGGCUCAGACGAAGCGCGAGUGACGGUAUUUGCAGAAGAAGCACCGGCUAACUACGUG
rnacentral:rRNA from 1 species